rnacentral:rRNA from 1 species
UGCAAGUCGAGCGGAAACGAAGAGGUGCUUGCACCUUUGGCGUCGAGCGGCGGACGGGUGAGUAAUGCUUGGGAAUAUGCCUUAUGGUGGGGGACAACAGUUGGAAACGACUGCUAAUACCGCAUGAUGUCUACGGACCAAAGUGGGGGACCUUCGGGCCUCACGCCAUAAGAUUAGCCCAAGUGGGAUUAGCUAGUUGGUGAGGUAAUGGCUCACCAAGGCGACGAUCCCUAGCUGGUUUGAGAGGAUGAUCAGCCACACUGGGACUGAGACACGGCCCAGACUCCUACGGGAGGCAGCAGCGGGGAAUAUUGCACAAUGGGCGCAAGCCUGAUGCAGCCAUGCCGCGUGUGUGAAGAAGGCCUUCGGGUUGUAAAGCACUUUCAGUAAGGAGGAAAGGUUAAGUGUUAAUAGCGCUUAGCUGUGACGUUACUUACAGAAGAAGCACCGGCUAACUCCGUGCCAGCAGCCGCGGUAAUACGGAGGGUGCGAGCGUUAAUCGGAAUUACUGGGCGUAAAGCGUACGCAGGCGGUUUGUUAAGCGAGAUGUGAAAGCCCCGGGCUCA